rnacentral:rRNA from 2 species
UACGGAGGGUGCGAGCGUUGUCCGGAAUCACUGGGCGUAAAGGGCGCGUAGGUGGCGCGGGCAGUCAACGGUGAAAGUUCGGGGCUCAACCCUGAAUCGGCCGUCGAUACUCCCGGGCUUGAGCACUGUAGAGGCUAAUGGAAUUCCGGGUGUAGCGGUGGAAUGCGUAGAGAUCCGGAAGAACACCGGUGGCGAAGGCGGUUAGCUGGGCAGUUGCUGACACUGAGGCGCGACAGCGUGGGGAGCAAACAGG